GAAGAAGAGAAGCACGGUAGAAAGAAAGGAAGAAAGUAAGAUAGAAAGAAAGAAAGGUAGAAAGGAAAGAAGACAAAUAAAGACAGAUUAGAUGGAAGGAAUAGAAUGAAGGUAUGUAUGAAGAGAAAAAAGAAAGGGAGGUAGAAAGGGAGGAAAGAUGAAAGUAAAAUAGCAAGAAAGGUACGUAGAUAGGAAGGAAUAGAUGGAGCAGAGUUAGGAAAAAAAGAAGGACUGUAAGAAGAAAGGAAAAGAAAGAAAGGUAGUAGGUAGGUAGGUGGGUAGGUAGGUAGGUAGGUAAGUAGGUAG